GAUCCUGGCUCAGGAUGAACGCCAGCUACAGGCUUAACACAUGCAAGUCGAGGGGCAGCAUUUUUAUAGCAAUAUAAAAGAUGGCGACCGGCGCACGGGUGAGUAACACGUAUCCAACCUGCCGUCUACUCUUGGACAGCCUUCUGAAAGGAAGAUUAAUACAAGAUGGCAUCAUGAGUCCGCAUGUUCACAUGAUUAAAGGUAUUCCGGUAGACGAUGGGGAUGCG
rnacentral:rRNA from 1 species